rnacentral:rRNA from 1 species
CGGAGUUGGCGGACGGGGUGAGGUUAAAUGGUCUUGGGGAAAACGUUGGACCCCGGGUUGGGAGGGGGGAUAACUACUGGAAACGGUAGCUAAUACCGCAUAACGUCGCAAGACCAAAGAGGGGGACCUUCGGGCCUCUUGCCACCGGAUGUGCCCAGAUGGGAUUAGCUUGUUGGUGAGGUAACGGCUCACCAAGGCGACGAUCCCUAGCUGGUCUGAGAGGAUGACCAGCCACACUGGAACUGAGACACGGUCCAGACUCCUACGGAAGGCAGCAG